AAAAAAAAAAAGUCUAGGAAGGUUAUCAAAGGCCAUUUUCCAGAUGCCUAAGAGGGUUACCAAGAGGGCACGGACGUGUAAAGCUCAAAAUAAGGACCAGAAGAACCAAGGGAUACCAAAGGGGUCAUCCUCUUCACCCAAAGAAACCAAAAAGCAUGCCAAGAAUCAUGAUCCUACUCCAUCUCUGAAUCCAUUUCCAGAAGGAUGGAAAGCUGCAGGGGUUGAACUUAGUUUGUCCAACUCUCAUCCUGAAAUUGUUCCCCAAGAGGAUCAAAAGGAACCAAUAGUUCCAACAUUUCAGUUCUUGGCUCCUUCUCCAUCUGCUGAUCAAAAAAAGUAAUGCAAAUCAUCAGCGGUUUGGAUCCAAUGCAAACCAAGUCAGCAGGCCAUUUCAGAACCAAGUUAAGCCAAAUGAAAUUUCAGGUCUACAAUGGUCACCAGGCGUUCAAACAUUUUCAGAUUUGUUAAGGGGAUCGCAUAGCUCUCAUGAAAGAAGUAUAUUUCCUUCUUUGCUACAGGACGAACACAUGGAAUCAUCUGAGAAUCGACCAAGAAGUGGGUUUUUUCAAGCUCAAGCCACACAAGAUCCAAUUGCAGCUGGUACAUUUCCUAACAAAAGGUAUCGUAUAACUUCAUUGUAUGAUCCCAUUUAUGAAGCUAUGGGCCUGCCUGUGGAUCCUAUUUUGCGAUGCUUUGUGUUGAUUCAACAAGCUGAAAACAAGGGGAAAUCCUUUCCCAACCCUUGACUCUUUCAGUAUCUUGGAGCCAUGUCGAGGCCACAGAGCAAAGUCCCAAAAUUUGAUCCUAUGAGAUGAUAUGUCGAUAGUUUAUUGCUUCAAUAAGAAAAAAAUGUAUUUUAGUUUCUGUUGGCAAAGUAGUUUAAAAAAAUGUUGUAUGACUAAAACCGAAUUUCCUUUGGGAAUAAGUUAUAUUUUGUGGUUUUC